GUCUACGGCCAUACCACCCUGAACGCGCCCGAUCUCGUCUGAUCUCGGAAGGUAAGCAGGGUCGGGCCUGGUUAGUACUUGGAUGGGAGAAACGCCUGGGAAUACCGGGUGCUGUAGGCU
rnacentral:rRNA from 10 species